rfam:Triticum aestivum genome assembly, contig: Triticum_aestivum_CS42_TGACv1_scaffold_210796_3AS
AUUAUACUCCCUCCAUUCUGAAUUACUUGUUUUGGAUUUUUCUAGAUACAGAUGUAUCUAGACUCAUUUUAAUGCUGAUACUUCUGUAUCUAGACAAAUCCAAGACAAGUAAUUUAGAACGGAUGGAGUAGCAG